GGAUGUGAGAGCAAUCUGGCUGUGACAUCUGUCACCCUAUUGAUGCCAGGGUUGAUUUGGCUGAUCUGACUGGGUAAGGUAGGUGGGUGGCCCUUUCCUUUCUUACUGCUCCAUGUGCAUCCCUGCUGAAGCUACUUGGUUGAAGAGGACAAGCACCUCUGUAAAGCAGGGCCGUUUCAUUUCUUAGGGCAAGGGUAUAACACGAGUAGCUGCACUACCCUGCUAGAACUUCCAAACAAACUCUCAAGAAUAGGAAAAAUAGUCAGGCAUGGUGAUGCAUUGAUGCAUGCUUGUAAUCCCAGCACUUGGGAGGCUGAGGCAA
ensembl:misc_RNA 7SK 7SK RNA